rnacentral:tRNA from 1 species
GGGUUGACUGUGACUUAAGACAUAAGUGGUGUCUGCCUUUCGCACCGCCCUGUCACGGCGGAAGUUGCGGGUUCGAGCCCCGUCAGUCCCG